CCGGUCCGGUCAAACCAUAGUAUAGUAGUCAGAUGAAGCAAGUGGAGAGCAGCAUAUAAAAGAAGCAAGGCGAGGAAAGGAGCACUGAAGAACUUGACCACUCCUCCACAAAGUCCAGAUCAUGUUCCAGAGCAGUCCCCACAGCCAGGAUCUUCAAGUUACCUUGUAACUGGAGAUUCCUUCAAAACGAUUGCCUACAGUUACCAUGUAGGACACUGCAAGGUUGGGUGACCAGGGCCAUCUGGGACUGCCUCCUGGGAGAAUUCAGAUGUGUGUAGGCUACCUGUAUACUGCACAACUACUUGAG
rnacentral:lncRNA from 1 species